UACGGGGGGGGCAAGCGUUGUUCGGAAUUACUGGGCGUAAAGGGCUCGUAGGUGGCCAACUAAGUCAGACGUGAAAUCCCUCGGCUUAACCGGGGAACUGCGUCUGAUACUGGAUGGCUUGAGUUUGGGAGAGGGACGCGGAAUUCCAGGUGUAGCGGUGAAAUGCGUAGAUAAUCUGGAGGAACACCGGUGCGAAGGCGGCGUCCUGGACCAACACUGACACUGAUGAGCGAAAGCCAGGGAGCAAAGCGGG
rnacentral:rRNA from 1 species